UGUUCCUACGGGACGCAGCAGUGGGGAAUAUUGCACAAUGGGGGGAACCCUGAUGCAGCGACGCCGCGUGAGCGAAGAAGUAUCUCGGUACGUAAAGCUCUAUCAGCAGGGAAGAAAAAAAGUCUUUGGCUUUGGACGGUACCUGACUAAGAAGCCCCGGCUACCUACGUGCCAGCAGCCGCGGUAAUACGUAGGGGGCAAGCGUUAUCCGGAUUUACUGGGGGUAAAGGGAGCGUAGACGGCAGCGCAAGUCUGGAGCGAAAUGCCGGGGCUGAACCCCGGAACUGCUUUGGAGACUGUGCAGG
rnacentral:rRNA from 1 species